UACGAAGGGGGCUAGCGUUGCUCGGAAUCACUGGGCGUAAAGAGCGUGUAGGCGGUUUGGUAGGUCCGCUGUGAAAACUCGAGGCUCAACCUCGAGACGCCGGUGGAAACCAUCAGACUAGAGUCCGGAAGAGGAGAGUGGAAUUCCUGGUGUAGCGGUGAAAUGCGCAGAUAUCAGGAAGAACACCCGUGGCUAAGGCGGCUCUCUAGUACGGUACUGACGCUGAGACGCGAAAGCGUGGGGAGCGAACAGG
rnacentral:rRNA from 1 species